CGUGGGUCCUUAACGGGCCUCGCUGUUUGCAAUGUUUGUGCUUUUUGGGUGUACUUUUUCGUAUGGUAGGCCAACGUCAGUUUCGAUUACCGUAAAAUGAUCGGAGGAAUGUAGCUUCGAUCUCGUAUUGAAGUGUUAUAGCCUCUGGUAGAUGCGGUAAUUGAAACUGAGGAUUGCAACGAAUACCCUCUGGGCUAUCCGUCUGACCUCUGAAAGUUGCUUGGGUGCCGAAAGCUUGCUUACGGUCAUUUAAGUUGACGGUCAAAAGGUUAGAACGUGAUUACA
rnacentral:rRNA from 1 species